UACGUAGGGGGCAAGCGUUGUCCGGAUUUAUUGGGCGUAAAGAGCGUGUAGGCGGCCGUACAGGUCAGCUGUGAAAACUCGAGGCUCAACCUCGAGACGUCGGUUGAAACCGUACGGCUAGAGUCCGGAAGAGGAGAGUGGAAUUCCCGGUGUAGCGGUGAAAUGCGCAGAUAUCGGGAAGAACACCCGUGGCGAAGGCGGCUCUCUGGGACGGUACUGACGCUGAGACGCGAAAGCGUGGGUAGCAACAGG
rnacentral:rRNA from 1 species